rnacentral:rRNA from 1 species
CAGUAGCCACGGUAAUGCGAAGGGUGCAAGCGUUAAUCGGAAUUACUGGGCGUAAAGCGUGCGUAGGCGGUGAGUUAAGUCUGCUGUGAAAUCCCCGGGCUCAACCUGGGACCUGCAUUUGUGACUGUAUAGCUAGAGUACGGUAGAGGGGGAUGGAAUUCCGCGUGUAGCAGUGAAAUGCGUAGAUAUGCGGAGGAACACCGAUGGCGAAGGCAAUCCCCUGGACCUGUACUGACGCUCAUGCACGAAAGCGUGGGGAGCAAACAGGAUUAGAUACCCCAGUAGUCCCUGUCUCUUAUAC